rnacentral:rRNA from 1 species
GGUUAAGCGACCAAGCGUACACGGUGGAUGCCCCGGCAGUCAGAGGCGAUGAAGGGCGUGCUAAUCUGCGAUAAGCGCCGGUAAGGUGAUAUGAACCGUUAUAACCGGCGAUACCCGAAUGGGGAAACCCAGUGUGAUUCGUCACACCAUCAUUAACUGGAAUCCAUAGGGUUAUCGAGGCGAACCGGGGAACUGGAAAUUCAAGUACCCCGGAGGAAAAGAAAUCAACCGAGAUUCCCCAGCAAAGCGGCGAGCGAACGGGGAGUGGUUUCCAGAAGCUUCCGAAUCAGCAUGUAAAAGUUAGUGGAAGCGUUCGAAAGUCGCGCGAUACAGGGUGACAGCCCCGUACACAAAAAGCGUAUGCUUUUCAGAGCUCGAUGAGUAGGGCGGGAUCAUCGUGGUAUCCUGUCUGAAUAUGGGGGGGACCAUCCUCCGCUAACAACACUCCUGACUGACCGAUAGUGAACCAGUACCGUGGAGGAAAGGGCGCGAAAAGAACCCCGGCGAGGAGUGAAAAAGAACCUGAAACCGUGUACGCGCCAAGCAGGGAGCACCCUUCGGGGGUGACCGCGUACCUUUGUAUAUAAUGGGGUCAAAGACUUAUAUUCUGGUAUAGCGUUAAACGAAUAGGUUUUGAAGGGAAACCGAGUUCACUGGGCGUUAAGUUGCAGGGCAGACCCGAAACCCGGUGAUUCAGCUUCAUGGGCAGGUUGAAGGUUGGGUAACACUAACUGAGGACCGAACCGACUAAUGUUGAAAAUUAGCGGAUGACCUGGUGGCUGGGGUGAAAGGUCAAUCAAAACCGGGAGAUAGCUGGCCCCCGAAAGCUAUUUAGGUAGCGCCUCGUGAAUUCAUCUCCGUAAGUAGAGCACUGUUUCGCCAGCCAUCCCGGCUUACCUUCAACCCGAUGCAAACUGCGAAUACCGGAGAAUGUUAUCACGGGAGACACACGGCGGGUGCCAACCGUCGUGAAAGAGGGAACAACCCAGACCGCCAGCUAAGGUCCCCAAAGUCAUGGUUGCUGGGAACGCAUGGGAAGGCCCGACAGCCGUGAUGCUGGCUUGUGGAAGCACAUCAUUUAAAGAAAGCGCAAUAGCUCACUGGUCGAGUCGGCCUGCGCGGAAGAUGUAACGCUGUCCAUGCACCGAAGCUGCGGCAAAGCGACACUGUGUUGUUGCAGGGGGAGCGUUCCCGUACCGGCGCGUGUCGAGCAUGCUGGAGGUAUCAGAAGUGCGAAUGCUGACAUAAGUAACGAUAAAGCGGGGCGCAAAGCCCGCUCGCCGGAAGACCAAGGGUCUCUGUCCAACGUUAAUCAGCAGAGGUGAGUCGACCCCUGCUGCGAGGCCGAAAGGCGUGUACGAUGGGGAAACGGUUAAUACUGCAAUUUGGUGUGUUACUGCGAAGGGGCACGGAGAAGGCUAUGUUGGCCGGGCGACGGUUGUCCCGGUUUAAGCGUGCGGUAGGUGUGUUCCGUAAAAUCCGGUUCAAUUUUAACACUGAGGCGUGACGACGAGGCACUACGGUGCUGAAGGCCAACAAAUGCCCUACUUCCGUGAAAAGCCUCUAAGCAUCAGGUAACAUCACCCCAAACCGACACAGGCGGUCAGGCAGAGAAUACCAAGGCGCUUGAGAGAACUCGGGUGAAGGAACUAGGCAAAAUGGUGCCGUAACUUCGGGAGAAGGCACGCUGACACGUAGGUGAAGUGAUUUACCCGCGGAGCUGAAGUCAGUCGAAGAUGUACCAGCUUUGGCUGCAAACGUUUAUUAAAACACAGCACCAGCAAACACGAAAGGGACGUAUACGGUGUGACGCCUGCCCGGUGCCGGAAGGUUAAUUCGAUGGGGUCAGCGCAAGCGAAGCUCCUGAUCGAAGCCCUGCAAACGGCGGCCGUAACUAUAACGGUCCUAAGGUAGCGAAAUUCCUUGUGUCGGGUAAGCAAGUUCCGACCCAGCAAUGAAUGGCGUACACGAUGGCCGUGGCUGUCUCCACCCGAGACUCAGUGAAAUUGAACUCGCCGUGAAGAUGCAGUGUACCCGCGGCAAGACGGAAAGACCCCAGAACCUUUACUAUAGCUUCGACACUGAACAUUGAGCCUGAUGUGUAGGAUAGGUGUUUUUGAAGCGUGGACGCCAGUCUGCGGAGCCGACCUUUAAAAUACCACCUUAAUGUUUGAUGUUCUAACGUGGACCCGUGAUCCGCUGCGGGACAGUGUCUGGUGGUAGUUUGAUUGGGGCGGUCUCCUCCCUAAAGAGUAACGGAGGAGCACGCAGCGCUGGCUAAUCCCCGGUCGGACAUCAGAUAGCGCAAUGGCAUGCUUCAGCUUGACUGCGAGCGUGACGGCGCGGCAGGUGCGAAAGCAGGUCAUAGUGAUCCGGUGGUCUCUGAAUGGCGGGCCAUCGCUCAACGGAUAAAAGGUACCCGGGGACAGGUGCCGAUACCGCCCAAGAGUUCAUAUAUCGACGGCGGUGUCGCGCACCUCGAUGCUCAUCACAUCCGGCUGAAGUAGGUUCCAUAAGCGGCUGUUCGCUUAAAGUGGUACGCGAGCUGGGUUUAGAACGUCGUGAGACAGUUCGGUCCCUAUCUGCCGUGGGCGCUGGAGAACUGAGGGGGCCAGUUCUAGUACGAGAGACCGGAGUGACGCAUCACUGGUGUUCGGGUUGUCAUGCCAAUGGCACUGCCCGGUAGCUAAAUGCGGAAGAAAGAUAAGUGCGCGAAAGCAUCUAAGCACGAAAUCCUGCCCCGAGAUGAGUUCUCCCUGAGACCUUUAGGUUCCUGAAGGAACGCUUUGAAAGACGACGACGUUGAUAGGUCGGGUGUGUAAGCGCAGCGAUGUUGAGCUAACCGAUACUAAUGAACCGUGAGGCUUAACCUU